GGGGAUUUAGCUCAGCGGCAUAAGCGCCUGCCUUGAAAGCAGGCAGUCGUGAGUUCUAUCCCCG
rnacentral:tRNA from 1 species